GCAAGUCGAAAGCAUUUAGUUGCUUGGCGAACGAGGUAGUAACACGUAGGAUAACAUGCCCCAAAGUCAGGGAUAACCUGGAGAAAUCCAGAAUAAUACCUGAUAGACCCUUCUAUGAUUUAGGUAGGGUAAAGAUUUAUCGCUUUGGGAUUGGCCUGCGGGGUAUCAGCUAGAUGGUAGUGUAAUAGACUACCAUGGCUAUGACGCCUAGGGGAGGUGAGAGCCUGACC
rnacentral:rRNA from 1 species